AUGGUACGGCGAAGGGCGAACAAAGCGAAUGUAAACGCAAGCACAAGAGAGAGGCCACAAGUGGCGGUGUGGAAGCCUUCCCAGGUCACCAGCUGCCACACGGCUACGGCUGCGGCUGCUAUAAAACCACACCGAGAGUCCGAGACGCCGCCACCAACAAACAAACAGAAGCCACGCCGGAGUCUCGUACCGCAAACGUCGGAGGCAGGAAGCAUCGUCCGCCGUCUCUUCCCGGAGAUGGCCGCCGUGGUGGUGCUGUUCGACUUCGACAAGACCAUCAUCCAGUGGGACAGCGACGACUGGGUCAUCACCAAGCUCGGGGCCGCCGACGCCUUCAACCGCCUGCGCCCCACCAUGCGCUGGAACUCGCUCAUGGACAGGAUGAUGGGGGAGCUCCACGCGCAGGGGAGGUCGGCCGACGACAUCCGCGUGUGCCUCAGGAGCGCGCCUCUCGACGCGCACGUCCUCUCCGCCAUCCGGACGGCGUCGGCAUUAGGGUGUGAUUUGAAGGUGGUGAGCGACGCCAACUCCUUCUUCAUCGAGACCGUCCUGGAGCACCACGGCGUCCUCGGCUGCUUCUCUGAGAUCAACACCAACCCCGCGCGCGUGGACGCCCAAGGGAGGCUCAGGAUCUCGCCGUUCCAUGAUCCCACGACCUCGCCCCAUGGCUGCAACCUGUGCCCUGACAACAUGUGCAAGGGCAAGAUAAUCCAGAGGAUUCAAGAGACAGACAGUGCCAAGAACAAGCACUUCAUAUACAUCGGUGACGGGAAGGGGGAUUACUGCCCCUCUCUUAAGCUAGGGGAAGGGGACUAUGUCAUGCCAAAGGAGAAUUACCCCCUCUGGAAUCUCAUCAGCAGCGAUCCCCAGCUUAUCAAAGCUGAGGUUCAUCCAUGGUCUAGUGGCGAGGAAUUCGAAAGGAUCCUACUUAAGCUGGUGAACAAGCUGAUCACCUCGCAUGCACAGGGGUCCCAAUUGGACUACAAAUGCGACAUGAGCAAUCCAGUAUCAACGGAAGUGGGUCACCAUCAGACUCUCCCUGUCCCAAAUUGA
rnacentral:rRNA from 1 species